rnacentral:rRNA from 1 species
GACGAACGCUGGCGGCGUGCUUAACACAUGCAAGUCGAACGGAAAGGCCUGCUUUCCCUUGUGGAUUGCGGGUACUCGAGUGGCGAACGGGUGAGUAACACGUGAGUGAUCUGCCCCCAACUUGGGUAUAAGCCUGGGAAACUGGGUCUAAUUCCCGAUAGGACUGCAGGGUGGUGCCUGUGGUGGAAAACGAUUUUCUAGUGGUUGGGGAUGAGCUCGCGGCCUAUCAGCUUGUUGGUGGGGUAAUGGCCUACCAAGGCGGCGACGGGUAGCCGGCCUGGGGGGGUGGACGGCCACAUGGGGACGGGGAGACGGCCCAGACUCGUACGGGAGGCAGCAGUGGGGAAUAUUGCACAAUGGGCGGAAGCCUGAUGCAGCGACGCCGCGUGGGGGAUGACGGCCUUCGGGUUGUAAACUCCUUUCGACCGCGAGGAAGCCACCUGGUUGGAAGGGUGGUGACGGUAGUGGUAGAAGAAGCACCGGCUAACUACGUG